UGGGGAAUAUUGCACAAUGGGGGAAACCCUGAUGCAGCGACGCCGCGUGAGCGAAGAAGUAUUUCGGUAUGUAAAGCUCUAUCAGCAGGGAAGAAAAUGACGGUACCUGACUAAGAAGCCCCGGCUAACUACGUGCCAGCAGCCGCGGUAAUACGUAGGGGGCAAGCGUUAUCCGGAUUUACUGGGUGUAAAGGGAGCGUAGACGGACUGGCAAGUCUGAUGUGAAAACCCGGGGCUCAACCCCGGGACUGCAUUGGAAACUGUUGAGCUGGGAGUGGCAGGGAGGGUAAGCGGAAUUCCUAGUGUAGCGGUGAAAUGCGUAGAUAUUAGGAGGAACACCAGUGGCGAAGGCGGCUUACUGGACGGUAACUGACGUUGAGGCUCGAAAGCGUGGGGAGCAAACAGGAUUAGAUACC
rnacentral:rRNA from 1 species